rnacentral:rRNA from 1 species
ACGGGUGAGUAACACGUAGGCAACCUGCCCUCAAGUUUGGGACAACUACCGGAAACGGUAGCUAAUACCGAAUAGUUGUUUUCUUCGCCUGAAGGAAACUGGAAAGAUGGAGCAAUCUGUCACUUGGGGAUGGGCCUGCGGCGCAUUAGCUAGUUGGUGGGGUAACGGCUCACCAAGGCGACGAUGCGUAGCCGACCUGAGAGGGUGAUCGGCCACACUGGGACUGAGACACGGCCCAGACUCCUACGGGAGGCAGCAGUAGGGAAUCUUCCGCAAUGGGCGAAAGCCUGACGGAGCAAUGCCGCGUGAGUGAUGAAGGUUUUCGGAUCGUAAAGCUCUGUUGCCAGGGAAGAACGCUUGGGAGAGUAACUGCUCUCAAGGUGACGGUACCUGAGAAGAAAGCCCCGGCUAACUACGUGCCAGCAGCCGCGGUAAUACGUAGGGGGCAAGCGUUGUCCGGAAUUAUUGGGCGUAAAGCGCGCGCAGGCGGUCAUUUAAGUCUGGUGUUUAAUCCCGGGGCUCAACCCCGGAUCGCACUGGAAACUGGGUGACUUGAGUGCAGAAGAGGAGAGUGGAAUUC